AAGAAAAACAACAACCGUAGACUCCGAUCUGGAAAAAAGGUUGGCAGAAAUUGCAGCUGAGAUUGUACCAAUCGACAUACUUAAAGAACAAAUGAAAGGUCAUAAAGAUUCAGCAAAUGAAG